AAAGACAUUUUUGGUCUUAAAGAUGAUUCAGUAUGCAAAAGCAUUAGUAUAAAAUAUCCACCGUCGCAGCUUUCGAUUUCCUUAAACAAAAUACUUGAAUAUAGCAACAAUGUUUCUGUCUGUUUCUUAAAUAUGUCUUGUGCAACUGAUGAAUCCAAUCCGCCUUGUACAAUUGAAUGGUCAAGUGGAACCGAUAGCUUGCGUUACGUUCAUAUAAACAGUUGGGCUGAUGCUAAAAAUGGGAGUUACCGUUCUUUCUCCAACGUGCUUUACAACGUAACUAAAGACAUGGCUGGGGGAACAAUUACAUGUUCAACUACAUGCAAUAAUUUCCCAUCUCAUUUAAACAAAACCUAUAACAUUUCGUUUUCAGAUAUUCCGACUCUGUAUUUGAACACGACAUCGCCUGUUGUUUUACCUCCAAAUUUUACGGUGACCGUCAAAUGUUUCGUUGAUGACCUGAAUAAUCCUG